UUCCAGCUCCAAUAGCGUAUAUUAAAGUUGUUGCGGUUAAAAAGCUCGUAGUUGAAUUUGUGUUCCGUGCUGUCGGUUCACCGCCCGCGGUGCUAACUGGCACGUCUCACGGGACGUCCUGUCGGUGGAAGACAAUCUCCUUGUGCUGUCUGGGCUUCUGCGUUCUCUACGUGUUAGCGUACGCGCAGGGGUCCCGGGUGCUUGGCGACCCUUCCGACUUGUAUAAAUCCUGUCGCGGUGCUCUUAAUUGAGUGUCGAGGCGGGCCGACACGUUUACUUUGAACAAAUUAGAGUGCUCAAAGCAGGCUAAAAUUUCGCCUGAAUACUAUGUGCAUGGAAUAAUGGAAAAGGACCUCGGUUCUAUUUUGUUGGUUUUCGGAACCCCGAGGUAAUGAUUAAUAGGGACAGAUGG
rnacentral:rRNA from 1 species